rnacentral:rRNA from 1 species
UACGUAGGGGGCGAGCGUUGUCCGGAUUUAUUGGGCGUAAAGAGCUCGUAGGCGGUUCGAUAAGUCGGACGUGAAAUCUCCACGCUCAACGUGGAGGGGCCGUUCGAUACUGUCGUGACUCGAGUCCGGUAGGGGAGUGUGGAAUUCCCGGUGUAGCGGUGAAAUGCGCAGAUAUCAGGAGGAACACCAAUGGCGAAGGCAGCACUCUGGGACGUGACUGACGCUGAGGCGCGAAAGCGUGGGGAGCAAACAGG